ensembl:misc_RNA 7SK 7SK RNA
AGAUGCAGGUGAUCCAGCUGGGACUUCUGUCACCGCACUGAUAACCAAGGCUGAUUUGGCUGAUCUGGCUAGCUUGUCCCCUUCCUCCCUCACCAUUCACUCCCCGUGUUUCCUCCAAGGCUGCACGCUCAGAGGAAGAGAACAACCUUCCAAUGAGGAAUGGCUCUUCAGCCAAGUGCACACGAGUAGCUGCACUCCCCUGCUAGAACUCCAAACAAACUCCAAGACGGGGACCCACCAACCACACUGAGUGCUCCAGGCUGGGCUGGCAGAGGAGCAGGAGGAGGCCUGAGGGCCCCAUGGAUUUUACAUGGAGCUCGCUGCUAAGAGACUGUGUGUUGGUGU